CCUACGGGUGGCAGCAGUCGAGAAUCAUUCACAAUGGGGGAAACCCUGAUGGUGCGACGCCGCGUGGGGGAAUGAAGGUCUUCGGAUUGUAAACCCCUGUCAUGUGGGAGCAAAUUAAAAAGAUAGUACCACAAGAGGAAGAGACGGCUAACUCUGUGCCAGCAGCCGCGGUAAUACAGAGGUCUCAAGCGUUGUUCGGAAUCACUGGGCGUAAAGCGUGCGUAGGCAGUGUCGUAAGUCGUGUGUGAAAGGCGCGGGCUCAACCCGCGGACGGCACAUGAUACUGCGAGACUAGAGUAAUGGAGGGGGAACCGGAAUUCGCGGUGUAGCAGUGAAAUGCGUAGAUAUCGAGAGGAACACUCGUGGCGAAGGCGGGUUCCUGGACAUUAACGGACGCUGAGGCACGAAGGCCAGGGGAGCGAAAAGGAUUAGAUACCCGAGUAGUC
rnacentral:rRNA from 1 species